GAAGGAAGGUGGCGCGAGAGACGAGGAGGCGCAGUACCAGGAGCGAAUACAACACAUGGAGUCAAGUGGUCAGAAUGUUCGAGCCCUAAGAGAAGUUAACGUUUCGUUAUCAGAGGAAGUACAAGCCCUUCAUCGCGUGUGCGCAGCCUUGGAUGAACAAUGCCGUGUGUCAGCCCUGCGAGCGCAGUUCAAAGAUGAAAUUAUACGGGAGAUGCGCCGCCAACUAAAAUGGGCUAAAGCUAAACUGAAGGAGUCAGACCAGAAGAGCAACACAGAGGCGACAAGCAGUCAGUCUUAUGGAUCAGUACGACGGAGUAAUGGGAGGGAUAGGGACUUACCUGACCUUGAUAUGAAUCCUGACUGGAUAUGCCAGAAUAGAAUCUACGACGGCUCCGGGGACGUUGUUUCAUAUGGAAGGGAUUAGAUUUCUGAUCUCUUAAAAUUCUGGACUUCGAGCUUACUAAGAAUUCCCAUAUAAACUUUACCUUAGAAUUCUUAUAUAUUUUAUUAUUUUAUGGGCAGCUGAUAGCACUGAGCAUAUUAAUUUGUCACAUAUGAAUAGCUAUACUUGACUUCAUAA